rnacentral:ncRNA from 1 species
GGCACGGUCGUUAUUCAGCGGUAAUACGGUUUGUACUGAGCCUUUACCGAAGCUGUCAGUGCCCAUUAAUACGGCGCGCUUAUGAUCUUGUAGAGCGCCGGCAACAAUUUCUGAGGCCGAGGCACUACCACCAUUGAUCAGCACCACUAAAGGUACAUCGCCACUGAUAUUUUCAGCCGUAGCGGAAAAACGCAGCUCAGCAUUGGCCAAGCGACCUUUGGUGUAGACAAUUAAGCCAUCACUGAUAAAUUGAUCAGUCACCUCAACCGCAGCUUGCAGUACGCCGCCUGGGUUGUUACGUAA